rnacentral:lncRNA from 1 species
AUUCCAGAUGUUUUUAUUUCCUCCAGCUCCAGCGACACAACCGGAGCAGCAUUUCCCACACUGGGAAACAGGGAAGAAAACACUUUAUUUUAAAUUUUCUUUUAUUUUAUUUUUGCCGAGGCAAAAAAAUAAAAAUAAAAAUAAAAAUAACAAAGGAUAAAAAUUAAGAACUGGAGAAGUUCCUCAUCCUCCCUUGAAGGACUCUGUGCGUCUGUGGCGGACAAAGCAGCAGAACCGGGGCUGAAAUCAGAGCUGGGGUUAAAAUCUAAAAUCCAGGAUUUGGGGUCAGAAAUGGGGUUAAAAUCGAGGAUUUGGGGGUUAAAAUCGAGGAUUUCAGCUCAGAAUUGCAGCACAACUUCCAAAGGCAAACCUGGGAAGGGUUUUUGGGAUGGGAUUUCCCUCUCCAGGUGGGAUUUUCCCUCUCCAGGUUGGAGCCUUCCCUCUCCAGGUUGGGAUUUUUCCCUCUCCAGGUGGAAUUUUCCCCCUCCAGGUUGGAAUUUUCCCCCUCCAAGUUGGGUUUUCCCUCCAGGUGGAAUUUUCCCACUCCAGGUCAGGUUUUCCCUCUCCAGGUUGGAAUUUUCCCUUUCCAGGGUGGGAUUUUCCCUCUCCAGGUCAGGAUUUCCCUCUCCAGGGUGGGAUUUCCCUCUCCAGGUUGGAAUUUUCCCUCUCCAGGGUGGGAUUUUCCCUUUCCAGGGUGGGAUUUCCCUCUCCAGGUCAGGAUUUCCCUCUCCAGGCUGGAAUUUUCCCUCUCCAGGUCGGAAUUUUCCCUCUCCAGGCUGGAAUUUUCCCUCUCCAGGUUGGAAUUUUCCCUCUCCAGGGUGGGAUUUUCCCUCUCCAGGGUGGGUUUUCCCUUUCCAGGGUGGGAUUUCCCUCUCCAGCUCAGGAUUUCCCUCUCCAGCUCAGGAUUUCCCUCUCCAGGUUGGAAUUUUCCCUCUCCAGGGUGGGAUUUCCCUCUCCAGGGUGGGUUUUCCCUCUCCAGGUCGGAAUUUUUGUCCCUCCUGGACAGGGAUGAGCAGCAGCUUCUUGCCAAGCCCAGGCUGGGAAGUGCCUUUGGAUCUGCCCCGGGAUUUUCCCAGAAAAUCUUGGGAUUUUCCCAAGGGUUUGGGGCUGGUUCGGAGCUGCCAGGGGCUCCGUGAACUGCAAACUCCCUUUGCUGGAAUCCCAGGAGAGGUCCUGGAACGGGAUCGGGGCUUCAGGGGGGGAAAAACGGGAAUAAACUCCAGGAGGGCGACGGCUGGUCACCUUCACAUCCCAGAAAAAAUAAUAAAAAAGUACCUUCAGCAAGUUUUAAAUUGCAAAAUAAUCUUGGUUUAA